rnacentral:misc_RNA from 1 species
AACCUCCUUUUGAGUUUUAACUAAGCAAACCCAGCUUAGAUCCAACCUCUGAAAUCUCCCUAUAUAUACCCCAAUUUCCUCGACCUAACGAUCUCUCAUUCUUUCAUUUCUUGAUCUUCUUCUUGUGCUUAUGUUGUUUGUGUUUGUUUAUCUUCUAAUAAAAUGAGCAAUAUACCCACUUCUCUCACAGAUUCUUCCUUUGCCCUGUUCUCUCUAGCCAUUUCUGCCUCUGACCCUUGGCCUUUCCCUCUUCUUCUCUAAUAUUUCACAACAAAACCCACUUUUUCUUGAUUUUCUUGUUUCUUGAUUCUUGAUUUUCUUGUUUUGUAUUGAUAGUUGUAGAUAUGGGGAGUACUGGAGAUAGAAACAACCAUUAUUUGAAUUCCAAUGCCAAUUUGCCACAUCUUCUUCACUUUCAUAAUCAGCAUCAUCAUCACCACGGAGGAAGCAAGAAAGAUUUGAAAGAUAUUCCAAAAGGGUGCUUGGCGAUCUUGGUGGG